rnacentral:tRNA from 1 species
GUAAAGAUGCCAGAGGUUUGAAUGGAGUUGAUUUAGGAUUAAUUUAUGGGGAUUUACCCUUCUUUAUA